UACGGAGGGUGCAAGUGUUAUCCGGAAUCAUUGGGUUUAAAGGGUCCGCAGGCGGUCUUAUAAGUCAGUGGUGAAAGCCUACAGUUCAACUGUAGAACUGCCAUUGAUACUGUAAGACUUGAAUUCGAUCGAAGUGGGCGGAAUAUGACAUGUAGCGGUGAAAUGCUUAGAUAUGUCAUAGAACACCGAUAGCGAAGGCAGCUCACGUAGGUCUGGAUUGACGCU
rnacentral:rRNA from 1 species